rnacentral:rRNA from 1 species
AUUGAACGCUGGCGGCAGGCCUAACACAUGCAAGUCGAACGAGUGGCGGACGGGUGAGUAAUGUCUGGGAAACUGCCUGAUGGAGGGGGAUAACUACUGGAACCGGUAGCUAAUACCGCAUACCAUCGGAUGUGCCCAGAUGGGAUUAGCUAGUAGGUGGGGUAAAGGCUAACCUAGGCGACGAUCCCUAGCUGGUCUGAGAGGAUGACCACCCACACUGGAACUGAGACACGGUCCAUACUCCUCCGGGUGGCAGCAGUGGGGAAUAUUGCAAAAUGGGCGCAAGCCUGAUGCAGCCAUGCCGGGUGUAUGAAGAGGGCCUUCGGGUUGUAAAGUACUUUCAGCGAGGAGGCGUUACCCGCAGAAGAAGCACCGGCUAACUCCGUGCCAGCAGCCGCGGUAAUUC